UUAUUUCAUGAUGGACGAAUGUAGUGCGAGUUAUAAAUAGACAAUUUUUCCCUUAAUUUUUUUCUCCCCUCUUCCUGCAUUUUUGGGUUGACUUUUUGGUCUAGAAUUGGAGAAAAGGGAUCAAAUUUGCAAUUUCAUAGCAGUUUUGGGUAAUACUGAUGAUAUUACAGCGGAGGGAUAGGGGGUGUAAAGUGUCUUUCUGCAGAGCAGUCAUUGUGUCGGAAGUGAGAUUUUCACCCCAGUCAACUUCAAAUCCGUGUAGCAAAAAAUCUAAAUGGUCAACCCCCUACAAAAUUAUGAUGAGGAGAUUGCCAAAUGUUGUCCCCAUUGUGCCUAUAAAGAUUGGAACCAACGGAAUGUUGAGAAAAAAGCUACAGCCUGUGAUGUUACAGCCAUUUAACAUUGAAGUCAAUGGGCAAAUAAUUGCUAGUCUGAGUCCUGAUGAGAUAAAGAAACAUGGCCGACUCGGGAUGUUGAUAUUUUUUCAAAGGCUUAUUUCCUGAAAUUUUGAAUGGAAAGUGUCAGAAAUGGUGUCAGGUUACUGUGCAAGAGUGGUAUGAUUGACCUCAACACAAGUAUUAAGGCAAAAGGGAAUCAACUUUAUUUGAGGCCAGAUACAUGGAACGGUUCCACCAGUUAUUUGUUAUCCCACCCCGGCACACAACAGAAUGAAGGCGGCACUUUGAGCAGUCGCCAUCGUAACACAUGAUAGUGGACUCUAGGACUUUUGCACUAACUUGGUUAGAAAGAGUCUGCAUGCCACUGCGAGAGGGCGGUGGAAUAUCCAAAUCUGUCAACAGCAGCCGAGCUCUGGUGUUUCCAACCGGCAUAUCUAACAGUCCAGAUUGUAGGGUCAGAUUAAUAGCGGCUGCCUUUCUUCCUGGUUUGCCAGUUGGAAUCUCUUUAUACAACUUGUAGACAGGUCUACAUCUCAAAACCCGAUGACUUCCCGGACUGGCAUUAGUAGAAAGAUGAUGCAUAUGAAUUUCAUCCCUGAUCUCUGUGACACCUGUGGAAGUUGAGGGCAAAUCAUAAUCAGUUUGGGUUCCAGCCGAGGACCCCUGUAAACGUUGCUGUUUAGUGUUGACUUCAUGUCCGAGCUUGAAAAAGACAGCCUUGCGUUUAUUAUGGCCUCUCAUAUUGGAAGAUAACAUAAAUGGCUUGUAUGUUGACUGUUGUGCAUAUCUCUGGGUCAGGAAAGUUGUAGGUACCAUCAACAUUGUAAAUCAUUUGACAGACCAGAAUGGAGAGUGAGAACUAUGAUUGGUCAGCCAUGUAUCAGAUUCCAUACUAGGGGGUGGGGAUCAUAAAACUGUUGUAGGGUUACAUAAUCAGAUUAUCUGAACUUAAUUGUCCUAUGUAAAUACAGCUAUGUAGGAGACAUUUUAAAAUUUAUAGGCACUGCAUGUUUCAACAUCUUAGAUUUGACCACAAUUUGGCUCUUGAAACUUCGUUAAGAGAGAAAAACUAAGAUCUUUUCGACGAAAAUGUUAAAAAAAUCUAAUAUUACAUGAUAAUUACUGUUUUAAAGGAUUUUCUUGUUUGAUUUAUAUUGAAUUUUUGUUAUCUUUUUACAGAAUGCAUUUAUGUUCAAAAAUAAAAAUGUUCUGUUUAAUUCAAAA